rnacentral:lncRNA from 1 species
AGAGAACGCCAGCUACACUCAAGGGUGCAGUCAUCGGGUGCUGAGGAAGCAUGUGAGAAAGGCUUGGAGGUUCAAGGGAAACGAAGGUCGUUGGUGGGCUGGUCUGGACUGUAGUGGCAAGAAAGAAGUCAGCCUGCCAGCCUCUCUGCUCUUCAUUCCUUCAAAGCAAGGGGUCCUGCAGACCUUGACGACUAGGACUUUGGUGGACGUGCAGAGGAAGUUGACAGAGUCUCACACGGCUCAUUAAAAAUUCUCUAAACAACAACAACCAGGAAACACAGCAAUAGAAGUAAAUGCAGAAAUGGACCCUGCAGCUUUGAAACAGCAGACAGAUGAGAAGCAAUGAAUAGACAGGGACUGCCCUGGCAUUUGGAAAGGAUGUGACCUAGAGCCAAGAACACCGCUGCCACCAGAAACAAUCCAGAUGUUUCCAUUAUUUGUCAUCUGAGCCUUGGAGAUGACUGAAAAGCAGAACCACCAGACUUGACCAUUUUUAGAUGCCCUCCCAAAUUAAAGAGUCUGUGCCUAUGCC